rnacentral:tRNA from 2 species
GGAGCCGUGGUGUAGUUGGUUAACACGUCGGCCUGUCACGCCGAAGAUCGCGAGUUCGAGUCUCGUCGGUUCCGCCA